AGCAGCCGCGGUAAUUCCAGCUCCAAUAGCGUAUAUUAAAGUUGUUGCAGUUAAAAAGCUCGUAGUUGAAUUUCGGGAUUGGCGCAUCGGUCGUGCCUCACGGGGUAUGAACUGGUGCAGUCAAUUUCUCACCUUCUGGAGAACCGCGAUGUCCUUAAUUGGAUGCCGCGGGGAACCAGGACCUUUACUUUGAAAAAAUUAGAGUGUUUAAAGCAGGCAUUUUUGCUUGAAUACAUUAGCAUGGAAUAAUAAAAUAGGACGGCAUGGUUCUAUUUUGUUGGUUUCUAGGACCACCGUAAUGAUUAAUAGGGAUAGUUGGGGGCAUUAGUAUUCAAUUGUCAGAGGUGAAAUUCUUGGAUUUAUUGAAGACUAAUUACUGCGAAAGCAUUUGCCAAGGAUGUUUUCAUUAAUCAAGAACGAAAGUUAGGGGAUCGAAGACGAUCAGAUACCGUCGUAGUCUUAACCAUAAACUAUGCCGACUAGGAAUCAGACGAUGUUAAUUUUUUAAUGACUCGUUUGGCACCUUACG
rnacentral:rRNA from 1 species